UACAAAAUAACGUAUACUGCUUGUGUACAGCAUUCGUUUCUAUGUUUUAUUUUUGAAAAUUGGUAUAUACUCUGGGAGGGGAUCAAUUUGCUAGUACAGGUACAGUACAAAUAUAUUGAGGAGAUCUCCCCUCUGUUCCGUAUGGAUCCAUACCUGUGUACUGAACGUUAAAUUAUUUUACCUGUUACAAGUGUUACGUACGGUACAAAGCAGUGACAUAAACAGUACUGUACAAUUUGCCAUAUAAUACUUCAGAAAUAAAAAUGAAUCAUUCGGUUACUCAAGAGUCGAGAUUCUAGCGUUACGUAAUUUGUAAACAUUUCCACCCAAUCUUGCUGAACUCAUGAGGUAAGUCAUGACUUCAGCAAGAUGGAGCAAUUAUGGAGACAUAGGAAGUGGUAAAAUAAUUUCGGAGAUCUUGUUUAAUUAACUUCUUCAGACGACACUUGUAAGAUUCUCGAUCAGUAUGUUUUGCAUCAUUCUAGUUGAUACUAAGCUGUGAAGAAAUAUGGCCAUUGGAGUGCAUGUAGGUCCUUGUUACGCAGGCGAUGUUACCACAUGGACAAACAGGGCAUUUGCCCAGGGCGGAACAUGACGAGGGUGGCAAAUUUUCAUAAAUUUAUACAAAAUUUUCAGACGUUUUAUUUUUUAAAAUAUUUUUUAUAUUACACGGGACGAGUUGAAUAUUGGUUGACUAAGCAAGUUCCUCGUGUGCGCUCAAAUUCACGUCGUUACUAGGCUGUCUCAUGUCGUCACAAAAGGUAUAAUUCUUGUAGAAGUUUUUGUUUUAAAUAAUUAAAUAUCAUUUAAAUUCACAAAUAUCAUUAAUUAUGUCGGGAUACGGAAGAAAACGGUCGUCGUGGCCUCAUUACCGCAAAAUAAAAUUGAAAAAGACGCAUAUAUGAAGAAAUGAUUUGUUCCUCGAGUAAACUCUUAACAUCUUAGUGUAGGUGAAACAGUUACUUCAACUUCACAAGUCGAGAAACUAAUGAGAAAAACGUAACGAUAGAAAUUCCGAAGUGUUGGAAGGGAAACAAAAUACAGAAUCAUAAGAAUUUAUAAGCACUAACGUCACUAGAGAAACUCAAGGAAGUAAAAUUUCAUACGAUCCUGUAGAAUGGCCUGAGAUAAUAAUUCAUUUAGAUUGUUCAUGGUAGAGAAGAGACGGAUGCAAAUUGGUAAUUCUGAUGAAGAAAAUACAUUUUAAUUUUCCAGACAGUAAUUAUUGCUGUUUUAAACCAUCGUAUUACAAAAGACCAAGAGUGAAGUAAUGCAAAGAUCGUGGUAAAUAUAUUCCCCUAUAAACAAUACGGUGUUUUGUUUUUCUUGUAAACUUUUUUAGACUAUUCAAAUUGCGUUGACAACAGUAGAUAACAGUGCUGAAAACAUUCAUUAGAAUUUCAACCGACCGCGAAAACAGUAAGUCAUAUAGAUGUAUAGAACUAGCAGAUGAAUUAGUUGUUUUUAUCUAGUUUAAUUAAGAAACGAUGCACAUCCUUAGAAGUAUUGAGUUAUGUAAAUCAAUAUGAUUUAUUCCCGAGCGUAUUAGUGGCUUUGAGAAUUUUAUUAACAUUACCAGUAAGUGUUGGGAGGCUCUGAAAGAAGCUUCUCCAAAUUAAAAUUAAUUGAAAAUUAAAUUGAACUACGACUUGGUGAUUUGACAACUAUUUCAAUGGAACACGAGUUGGCAAAAAUUUAGAUUUCAAGGAAUUUGUUAAAGAAUUUGCAGACCAGGAAGCUUAUUAAUUAAGUGCAUUUUUAACAUUUCUUAGUUAAACCUUUUCGUUUUCGUGAGUAAAAUAACUAAACUAACGUGAAACUAUUGUAAGUGAAAUUAAAAUAUUUUAAAUAAGAUUAAAAUUUAAAAAUAUUAAAAAAUUUCUUCCUACUUCUAAUAGAUAAGGCAUUAAAAUUUUGUUUUUCGUUUUAUAUAGUGGGGAUAAGGGGCGUCAAAUACAAGUCUUAUUCCGGGCGACAUAAAUUCUAGUGCCGGCUCUGGGAACACCGUAUCUUCGUUUUCUUUUUCUUUUGUGUGUGUGUUCAUUAUGAAGUAAUCCUAAUAGCAAAUGUUUUUUCUUUACUAGUAGUAAGCAUCGUAGUCGAACCAUUUUGAUUUUUAAGCGUAUAUGUUAGAAACGAGUUCAGCAUCGCAACAUAAUUAGAAUUAGCAAGAAUUCUGCUAUAUUGAACACGACUCAGUUAAUCGUUCUUAGCUGAAGAAAGAUCUCAGAUAAUUUUUAUUAACUUUAAUUUAUUAAAAGAUCGCUCUUCUGAUACCAGUACAGGUGACAAUAUAAUUUUAUAUGCUCUCAUGUGACACUUUUCUCUGAAUUAUUUAUUAAUAAUUUUGGAAUUUUGGCUCCUCAUCAUCUUGGACAUGGACAUCUGAACUCCUCUGCCCCUACUUUUCCACGGUCCUAGUGACCGCUAAUGCAUAAGUAGUAUAGAAGUAGAAGAACGACAACAUUUAAACUAGUUUUUAAAAAUAAAUUUUACUUAGAAAAAAUUUUCUAGUGUUUUUCCCCCUCCUUUUUUCUUUUGAAGGUGCUAGGGCUCUUUGGCCCCUCUGGAUGCUCCUCUGUAAAAAUUUAAUUACUGUGUAAUAAAUCAAUAUUUAAUCAUUAUGUUAAUUAGUAAUAAUAUAUAACAAUAGAUUUUGAAGUCCAAACAUACAAUUUAUAAUUCUUUCAAUUGUUAGAAUCAUUUUGGAGUUUAUGAUAUUGUACAUCUUAAAUACAAAUAUGCCUAAAAUAAACAAGAAGAAACUGGAAUAUGUGCAGAGAAUAGUGGGAGAGGUUAAAGAUUCAGACACGAUGUUGCGAGAGAUAUUUCCCAUAUGUUUUCGAGUUUCGGAAUGUUACGUUGGCAUGCCAUAUGGGUCUCACCUGUGUCCCAAGAAAUAUCUUAGAGAAUAUUGCAAAAGAAUGGCAAAGUCUGUUUCACUAAAAAUAUCUAAGAGGCUCCAAACUUCAUUGAAAUAUGAACUAGAAGUUAAGGUUAUAGAAGCUUUAAAUUUAAAAUCGAAGAAUAUAAAAGAUCAAACCAAUCCCUUCUGCAAAAUAUGGAUUCAUCAGAAUAAAGUGAAGACUAGCAAAGUGGUGGUUGCCAGCGUGGAUCCAAAUUGGGAUGAAGAAUUUGUCUUUAAGAAUAUUAUUAAUGAAGACGCGUUGACAAUUGAGAUUUGGAAUGCAAGUGUCACAAUGUUAAGGGAUUGUGAAACGAGACAAAAACGCAUCUAUUCACUGCUUCGAUGUUUUAAAAUUAAAAAGUCAAAUCCCAGAAUAUGUUCGGAUGAUUUGAUCGGCGUGACUACUAUCCAAAUUCAGGAAAUACCGUUUGUAAACGAAGAAGGUGACUUAAACAAUAAUGCAAAAGUACUAAAACUUAAUUUAAAUGGAAUAGAAACUGGUGGGAAAAUAAUUAUCGACAUGAAAAUUCGAUCUGACACGGACAAAGAUAUAGUAAUCUCUAUUGGUGAUCACAUCAAAAUAUGUAAAUUCUUCUUGCAAAAACAUCUAACAAAUAAAGAUAUUGACGUAAACAGUGCAUUGCACCUUCCGGAAUUAUUUCAUCCAGAAGAAUGGACUAUCCUCAAACAACAUGCCAUCCAGUCCAAUCUGUUUCCGUUAAAUCAUUACAUCUGUAUCUGGUUAUGUAUCAGCCGGCUCUUACGAAAAUAUAGAAUACGGUAUAACUAUAUUCUUAUGACGAAUUUUCUUAACAAAAUAAACUCAAUUAGAGAUAGCAUAAUAGAACCUGAUUCUUUUAUGGAUAAGAUAUUUUUGGACGAAAUGAAAUGCAUGGUAAAUAAUUCCAUCGCUAGACUUGAUCAGAUGCAUAUAUUUAUGGGGUUUGAAGAGAAAAUAGAUGUCGAACUACUGCGACCUUUUUUACAAUUUUUAAAAUCUUUAAGUAUAUUCAACUGCUAUAUGACAGAGGAAAUACAGUUCGCACUUCAGCAAAAUGCCGAAAAAUAUAAUUGUUUAUUACUAAGAUCGAUAUGGGCGAAGAAAGACAGCGACGAAGAAUUGAAACAACUGGAACACGUCUUAGAAGUUCUACGACAUAAUCACCAAAAAUUAGACGAAACUUUUGUGAAUGUAUUUGGUAAUAUGACUUACAGCCAACAUGUUUAUAUUAACCUAAAUGUACUGUUGUACAAGACAUGUCACAAACUAAUAGAACGACACGUAAGAAUUUCAUAUAUGAAUAAUGACCAAGACAAACUGAAGAAGAUGCUUCGAAUAUAUUUCAUGUUAAAGCAACUUAUAGAGAAUACCCUACGAAAUAUUGAAAAUGUACAGAACAGACCACGCUUAGAAAUGGAAAAUUUCUGCAAUUGGUUCGGAGAUGAAAUUCUAAAAGCUUGGUUUAAUCAGGUAGCACGGGAGGCUAAAAUUUUGAUUCGAAAUAAUAUCGAAAAAAAUUACGUGAAUAUUCUCAGCCAAUCUGUUAUAUCGGGACUACCAACUAAACACCUAAACAGUAUCAUAUUUGACAAAGUUAUAAGAUUUUGGAAAGAAUUGGAUUGGACCGAUGUAACUGCCAUCGAAAUAAUGAUUAAUUGUUUAAAUGACUGCAUUCUUGAGUACUAUGAUGGAAUGUUGAGAAAGAUCAAGAAAGAACACAUACCUCUUUAUAAAUGCAAUCUUAAUGUAUCCAACGAGAUGCGCUUAAUAAUCAAUAAUAUGACAGAAAUAACGAAAUGUAUUGAAAAUGUCAUUGAAGUCAUUGAAAAGGAUCUAACAAAUAAAUUAACUACAGAAUCUAGAAAAUAUUUAACGGGUCCAUUAAGAAACAUAAUAGCAAAGGCAAAAUCUGAAAUGUUAUCCUGCAGCAAAUACGCGAUUCAAUCGGCUAAAUUGCAAGCGUGUGAAAUGAUACAAAACAUAAUUAAUUCUAAACCUGGAAAAGUGAAACAGAACGCAUUUUGUAUAUUCGAAAAAUUUAUAGAUGAUUACAUUAAACUUUUAAAUCAUAACUUGACUAAAAUGGGAGUCAAAUUUGUAAUUUACGAAAUAUGGAAUGAAAUUUUGAAAAAUUUACUUGAAAUUUUGGACGAACACAAAAGUAAAGGAGUUGCAGAUGUACGCGAGAUAUUAUCCAUGAUUGUAGCGAAACUAAGCGAUAAAGAAGACAUUUUGACUCACAAUCAAAUGAAAAAUUUUAAAUAUAAUAGAUUAAAAAGUUACUUUCUCGAAUUGGAUUAUGCUAAAACGAAUUAAUUGGACCGGAUAAAAGUCAAAUUGGAUGUGAAUAAAAACACCACAAAUCCGUCGUCAAAUCUAUAAAAAUUAUAAUAAUAAUAAUAAUAAUAAUAAAGAUUAUUAUUAAAUUUAUUUUAUCAUUUGACUUAAAUUAAUCAGAAUUUCUACAUAUAAGUUAUUAUCAUGUUUUCAUACUCUAUAAAGUAUUUUAUUAAUUUAACUCAUUUCAUUUCAUCGGUAUUUUAAAAAAAUUUGGUGAGAUUUUGCGUAAAUUUUUUCAUCAUGUGAAGCAAUAUUUGAAAUUUUAAAAUUCGAACUUAAUAAAUUUCGAAUUGUAGAUUAAAAAAUAAAUAUUAUAUCUGCUAUGGAUGGAAGUCAAAAUCUAAUUUUAAAUCUUAUUCUAAAUGUAGGAUAAAUGAGAAUUAGAUGAUGAACACGUGUAAUUAUUAUAUAAACUAAAAUGUAAGCAUUACGUAUUGAUAUAUUGUGUUGGUUGAAAGUCAUGUUUGCUAUGUGUAUUGUUUAAACCCAAUUACUGUAAAAAUAAGUGAAAAAAUCGAAUGUUUCUGUUUCUAACUUGUAGAAUGUUUUACAUAUGUUUAUAUUUAAAUGUAUCCUGGAAAAUAUUAAAGAUUAGCGGAUGGUUUUUGUUUCUUGUAUAAUAUUUUAGAAGCUUUAGAAUCUAACAUGUAACAGAGAAUCUCUGGUCAUAAUGAUCAUCUAUAUGCUGUUCAUCAAUUAACCCUCUAUAGAUUAGAUGAGAAAACGCCACUCCUGUAAUAUAUGUGGAAUUCUGUAUUUGAAAUCUGACAAUUUAAAAACUUUAAUGUAGAAAUUUUAAUUAACCUAUAUUUGGGCAGACAUCAGACGAGUUUUGCUU